GAUGAACGCUGGCGGCGUGCUUAACACAUGCAAGUCGAACGGAAAGGCCCAAGCUUGCUUGGGUACUCGAGUGGCGAACGGGUGAGUAACACGUGUGUGAUCUGCCCCGCACUUCGGGAUAAGCCUGGGAAACUGGGUCUAAUACCGGAUAGGACCACUUCUUGGAGGUUGUGGUGGAAAGUUUUUGCGUUGUGGGAUGAGCUCGCGGCCUAUCCGCUUGUUGGUGGGGUAUUGGCCUACUAAGGCGUCGCCGGGUAGCCGGCCGGGGAGGGUGUACGGCCACAUUGGGACUGAGAGACGGCCCAGACUCGUACGGGAGGCAGCAGUGGGGAGUAUUGCACAAUGGGCGCAAGCCUGAUGCAGAGACGCCGCGUGGGGGAUGACGGCCUUCGGGUUGUAAACUCCUGUCGCUAGGGCCGAAGCGCAAGUGACGGUACCUAGAGAAGAAGCACCGGCUAACUACGUG
rnacentral:rRNA from 1 species